rnacentral:rRNA from 1 species
UGGGGGGGGUGCUAUACAUGCAAGUCGAGCGGACCGACGGGAGCUUGCUCCCUUAGGUCAGCGGCGGACGGGUGAGUAACACGUGGGUAACCUGCCUGUAAGACUGGGAUAACUCCGGGAAACCGGGGCUAAUACCGGAUGCUUGAUUGAACCGCAUGGUUCAAUUAUAAAAGGUGGCUUUUAGCUACCACUUACAGAUGGACCCGCGGCGCAUUAGCUAGUUGGUGAGGUAACGGCUCACCAAGGCAACGAUGCGUAGCCGACCUGAGAGGGUGAUCGGCCACACUGGGACUGAAACACGGCCCAAACUCCUACGGGAGGCAGCAGUAGGGAAUCUUCCGCAAUGGACGAAAGUCUGACGGAGCAACGCCGCGUGAGUGAUGAAGGUUUUCGGAUCGUAAAACUCUGUUGUUAGGGAAGAACAAGUACCGUUCGAAUAGGGCGGUACCUUGACGGUACCUAACCAGAAAGCCACGGCUAACUACGUGCCAGCAGCCGCGGUAAUACGUAGGUGGCAAGCGUUGUCCGGAAUUAUUGGGCGUAAAGCGCGCGCAGGCGGUUUCUUAAGUCUGAUGUGAAAGCCCCCGGCUCAACCGGGGAGGGUCAUUGGAAACUGGGGAACUUGAGUGCAGAAGAGGAGAGUGGAAUUCCACGUGUAGCGGUGAAAUGCGUAGAGAUGUGGAGGAACACCAGUGGCGAAGGCGACUCUCUGGUCUGUAACUGACGCUGAGGCGCGAAAGCGUGGGGAGCGAACAGGAUUAGAUACCCUGGUAGUCCACGCCGUAAACGAUGAGUGCUAAGUGUUAGAGGGUUUCCGCCCUUUAGUGCUGCAGCAAACGCAUUAAGCACUCCGCCUGGGGAGUACGGUCGCAAGACUGAAACUCAAAGGAAUUGACGGGGGCCCGCACAAGCGGUGAGCAUGUGUUUAAUUCGAAGCAACGCGAAGAACCUUACCAGGUCUUGACAUCCUCUGACAACCCUAGAGAUAGGGCUUCCCCUUCGGGGG